rnacentral:rRNA from 1 species
UACCUGGUUGAUCCUGCCAGUAGUCAUAUGCUUGUUUAAAGAUUAAGCCAUGCAUGUGUAAGUA